GCAACUGAAUUUAUUCUGACUAGGUAGAUUCAUGUAAUUUUGUGCAAUCAUCCCACUUCCGCUAAAAAACAUCUUGAGCUGCCAUCAGAGAGGCAGGUGUAACGCAGAAACCCGGAAAUACGACAGACGAAAACAACAGGAAUCUUCUCACUGAAGUCAUGGAUAAGAACAUACAACAGGAUUUUGAGAACCAGUUCAAUGAUGUGGUCUCAAGACUUCAAUCAAAAAAGAUGUUUCAGUCAGACUGGGACAUUGCCUCUUUUGCAGUUUUCUUCAUCUUUAUAGGAAUGGUCCUGUUGCUGGUUAUCUUGGUUCUCAUCCGCUGCUGUUGUUGCUGCUGCUGUGAUGAGAAGCCAAGAAGACAGAAGGUGGGCAUCGACAAUAUGGGAAUGGAGCCCUGAUCUUCCAGAAACAACAGGCACCAUUACAUCCACUUUUUGUUUCCUAUCAGUUUUGCCACCUUGUUUAUAUGUGAACAAGUAAAAUAAUGGAGGUAGGAGAAAAAUAUUUUAGAUAGAUACUUCCUUAUAGGGAUGAUAAAAGCAAAAAACUUUUCCUACUGUGUAAAAAUGCAGUUAAUAUUUACCCUGGAAAUCAAUCACAUGAUUGAACUUACAUUUCAUUAUACAUAUUUCAUCAGAGAGAACAGAUUUUAAUAUACAAGCAUGCACACCACUUUUGAAGACAUUGGUUACUUUCUGGUUAUACACUUUAUUGAAGCAACUUUCCGGGAUAGAACCAAUGCAGGCCCUUGACAAAUGGCCUCUAUUGAAAAGAGCUUGUUUUUAGUUGUCCAUUGAACAUCAUGUUUAAUCUGUUAAUCUUGUAUCUGGCUGUUAAGACUGAAUCCAUUUAACCUAUAUAUAUAUAUAUAUAUAUAGAGAGAGAGAGAGAGAGAGAGAGAGAGAGAGAGAGAACCUACACACUACAGAAGAGAAGAAAAGAAAAGUUUAAAUAACUUGACUGAUGAGACUUCUCAGAUUUUAGAAAAUGUAAACUGAUAAGUGAUGCUUUACUUGUGAAAACUGUACCUUUGAAAAAAAGUUGUCAAUAUUUAACUUUUUUAAAUGAACAUGUACCACAUUGUAUACAUUUGUAGACUUUGUAAACAAAAAUAACACAUACACACCUUCAAAUUAAUAGCAAAUAAAAUUUACCUUUCCCUAAAUAUCAAA